AUUAGUAUGAGGUGGGGUAUGAUCCUCUCCAGGUGUAGCGGAUAAAUUGGAGAUGAUUUGAAGGAACUCCCGGGGCGGAGGGCGGCCCCCCGCGACAGAUACGUGACACUCAGAUGAAAAAGCGUGGGGAGCAAAACAGGAUUAGAUCCCCUGGUAGUCCACGCCGUUAAACGAUGUCUACUUGGAGGUUGUGGCCUUGAGCCCGUGGCUUUUCGGAGAUAACGCGUUAAGUAGACCGCCUGGGGAGUACGGUCGCAAGAUUAAAACUCAAAUGAAUUGACGGGGGCCCGCACAAGCGGUGGAGCAUGUGGUUUAAUUCGAUGCAACGCGAAGAACCUUACCUACUCUUGACAUCCAGAGAACUUUCCAGAGAUGGAUUGGUGCCUUCGGGAACUCUGAGACAGGUGCUGCAUGGCUGUCGUCAGCUCGUGUUGUGAAAUGUUGGGUUAAGUCCCGCAACGAGCGCAACCCUUAUCCUUGUUUGCCAGCACGUAAUGGUGGGAACUCCAGGGAGACUGCCGGUGAUAAACCGGAGGAAGGUGGGGACGACGUCAAGUCAUCAUGGCCCUUACGAGUAGGGCUACACACGUGCUACAAUGGCGUAUACAGAGGGCUGCCAACUAGCGAUAGUGAGCGAAUCCCAGAAAGUACGUCGUAGUCCGGAUUGGAGUCUGCAACUCGACUCCAUGAAGUCGGAAUCGCUAGUAAUCGUGAAUCAGAAUGUCACGGUGAAUACGUUCCCGGGCCUUGUACACACCGCCCGUCACACCAUGGGAGUGGGCUGCACCAGAAGUAGAUAGCUUAACCUUCGGGAGGGCGUUACCCAUCGGGUGGUUUCCG
rnacentral:rRNA from 1 species